CUGAACAUGGUGCUCUAGAGAAUUGAGCAAGAUUCAAUCAGGCCACUGCACAUUUUUUUUUAUAAAUUCAGUAUGUGGAUGAAACGGUGCUCUUAGAGGUGCAGAUAAUAUAAAACACUGCAAAAAUCAUAGUGCUGGAUUUACAACGUACCUAUCACAACAUCUUGAUCAUCAACAAGCUUUCCCUGAUGAGCGGCGCACUUUUGGUGGUUAUUUUCUUCUACAGAAUUGAUCAAUAUACAAUU